rnacentral:misc_RNA from 1 species
AACGCAUAUUGCACUCUCUGGUAUUCCGGGGAGUAUGCCUGUUUGAGGGUCAGUAAAUAAUAAUUAUCAUAAUCUUUUGAUUGUGGAAUUGGGCCUUUAUUUCAUUUUUAAUGAUUUAUGGCCUUAAAUUUAUGUUACCGCUUGUUUUAAUAUGAAAUUCGACCGAAUGGAGCAAUUAAACAUUCUCUCGUUAGGCGGAUUCAUCAAGCAAUUACGAUUUUUUGGCCGUCGAAGCACUUUUUUUAAAAGUGCUUGGUCAAGAUUGUAAGAUACAUUUAACAAUGACCUCAAAUCAGGCAAGAAUACCCGCUGAACUUAA